GACACGAUGGCCGAGUGGUCUAAGGCGGUAGAUUUAAGUCUAGCUUGGAUCUCUACUACAGAAAUGUGCGUGGGUUCGAACCCCACUCGUGUCA